GAUGAACGCUGGCGGCGUGCUUAACACAUGCAAGUCGAACGGAAAGGCUCCUGCUUGCAGGGGUACUCGAGUGGCGAACGGGUGAGUAACACGUGGGUGAUCUGCCCUGCACUUCGGGAUAAGCCUGGGAAACUGGGUCUAAUACCGGAUAGGACCACAUUUUGGAUGGUGUGGUGGAAAGUUUUUCGAUGUGGGAUGAGCUCGCGGCCUAUCAGCUUGUUGGUGGGGUAAUGGCCUACCAAGGCGUCGACGGGUAGCCGGCCUGAGAGGGUGUACGGCCACAUUGGGACUGAGAUACGGCCCAGACUCCUACGGGAGGCAGCAGUGGGGAAUAUUGCACAAUGGGCGCAAGCCUGAUGCAGCGACGCCGCGUGGGGGAUGACGGCCUUCGGGUUGUAAACUCCUUUCGCUAGGGACGAAGCGCAAGUGACGGUACCUGGAGAAGAAGCACCGGCUAACUACGUG
rnacentral:rRNA from 1 species